rnacentral:rRNA from 1 species
GACGAACCACACAAACGUUAUUCGGAAUUACUGGGCUUAAAGGGUGCGUAGGCGGCCUGGCAAGUUGGGUGUGAAAUACCUCGGCUUAACCGAGGAAUGGCGCUCAAAACUGCCGGGCUUGAGGGAGAUAGAGGUGAGCGGAACUUAAGGUGGAGCGGUGAAAUGCGUUGAUAUCUUAAGGAACACCCGUGGCGAGAGCGGCUCACUGGAUCUCUUCUGACGCUCAGGCACGAAAGCCAGGGGAGCGAACGGG